CUUUUGAUCCAGAAGUUUUUAACAAGACUUGUUAAGUAUUUUUCUUUCUUUUCUUUCACAUUUUAUUGUUUGCUUACAAUUGUUUUGGAUUAUGAUUAAGUCCUGUGUCCUACCACAUCCCUUUAUUCAAUUUGCAUGAUUAUCUUCUGAUCUGACUUUUUUUUUUUUUUUGGACAAAUAUUCCAUGAUCAUUCCUUUAUUCCCACACUGGUUUUCGUCUGCAGAUUUGUCUAAAUCUGGAAUGGGUGCACCAAGCAUGGCGGCAGGGUGAGCCCCCUUCUGACCUGUCCCUCCCUGUGACGAGACCCAGCAGAGGCGGGGCGAGCGGGUGUGUGACAGUCUGGUUGCCUGGAAGCAGCUGGGGACACAAUGGGGCUUGGGAGGGGGUAGGGUGAGGUGUCCAGCUACCCUGCUUUGUCCUCCAAGCCACCAGGUGCGGUCCCACGCCAUGGGCUCAGACGUCUGGGUCGGGGCUUGGCGGCCUCACCUUCCCCGCGGCCCCAUAGCAGCGCUGUACAACGGCCCGGGGCCCAAGUACAAGCUGCCGCCCAACACCGGCUACCUCCUACACGACCCCUCGCGGCCGCGCGCCCCGGCCUUCACCUUCGGAAUGCGCCUCCCCGAGCGGCAGACGACGUGCGGGCCCGGCCCAGGCCACCUAGUGCCGCCCCGCUUGACCGUGCGAGGCCCUGACAGCGCCCCCGCCUACUCCAUCCAGGGCCGCCUGCGACACUCGGCGCCCUUCCGCACUCCUGGACCCGGCUUUGCCAGGGUUGGCCCAACCCCCGUUCCCGUCUCAAGACCCAUGCCCGGUCCACAUCCCUGGUGCGCCCCGCAGGCAGGUACUUCCCGGAACGCGCGGGGAACGCCACGUACCCCAGCGCGCCUCGCCACACAAUCGCACCCCGGAACUGGGGCGUCGGAGCCUGGCAGCAGACCCCAGGUGAGGCUGGAAAAGCCCCAUCCUCACAUCCCAGCCCCUAGCCAUCCCCCGGCCCACCGGCCCGACCGAGCCGACCCUGGGGCUCCUCCCAGGCCCCGGGGCUUACACGGUGCCCUCGCUUCUGGGCCCGGGCGUGAUCGGCAAGGUCUCGGCGCCCACCUACUCCAUCUACGGCCGCAGCGCGGUGGGCAGCUGCUUCGAGGACCUCAGCAAGAGCCCGGGGCCCUGUGCCUACCACGUGGUGAACCCUGGGGUCUAUAAGACCCGCGCCCCCCAGUUCACGAUGCUGGGGCGGACUUCGCCCCCCCGGGACAACACGCUCAAGCCGGGACCCGCAGCAUACAACGUGAACCAGCAUCGGAAGCCUGGCGGCUGGAGCUUCGGGAUCCGGCACUCGGAGUACCUGGCCCGGAUGGUGACCGAAGCGGACAAGUGACCCGGAGGGCGGGAGGGCAGGCCACUGCCCGUAGCCCUUUGCUUAAAGUUUCCAAGCCA